rnacentral:rRNA from 1 species
AUUGAACGCUGGCGGCAGGCUUAACACAUGCAAGUCGAACGAGUGGCGGACGGGUGAGUAAUGUUUGGGACUCCAGCUUAUGGAGGGGGAUAACUUUGGGAAACUGUAUCAAAUCCCGUGUUCUCUAGGAUGAGCCCAAGUGGGAUUAGGUAGUUGGUGGGGUAAAGGCUCACCAAGCCGACGAUCUCUAGCUGGUCUGAGAGGAUGACCAGCCACACUGGGACUGAGACACGGCCCAGACUCCUACGGGAGGCAGCAGUGGGGAAUAUUGCGCAAUGGGGGCAACCUGACGCAGCCAUGCCGCGUGAGUGAAGAAGGCCGUCGGGUUGUAAAGUUCUUUCGGUAGCGAGGCGUUAACUGCAGAAGAAGCACCGGCUAACUCCGUGCCAGCCGCCGCGGUAAUAC